GUCAUAUGCUUGUCUCAAAGAUUAAGCCAUGCAUGUCUCAGUACAAGCCAAAUUAAGGUGAAACCGCGAAAGGCUCAUUAAAUCAGUUAUGGUUCCUUAGAUCGUACCCACAAUUACUUGGAUAACUGUGGUAAUUCUAGAGCUAAUACAUGCAAACAGAGCUCCGACCGGAGACGGAAGGAGUGCUUUUAUUAGAUCAAAACCAAUCGGUGGCGGGUUCGCGCCCGUUAUCGUACAACUUGGUGACUCUGAAUAACUUUACGCUGAUCGCACGGUCAUCGCACCGGCGACGCAUCUUUCAAAUGUCUGCCUUAUCAACUGUCGAUGGUAGGUUCUGCGCCUACCAUGGUUGUAACGGGUAACGGGGAAUCAGGGUUCGAUUCCGGAGAGGGAGCCUGAGAAACGGCUACCACAUCCAAGGAAGGCAGCAGGCGCGCAAAUUACCCACUCCCGGCACGGGGAGGUAGUGACGAAAAAUAACGAUACGGGACUCAUCCGAGGCCCCGUAAUCGGAAUGAGUACACUCUAAACCCUUUAACGAGGAUCAAUUGGAGGGCAAGUCUGGUGCCAGCAGCCGCGGUAAUUCCAGCUCCAAUAGCGUAUAUUAAAGUU
rnacentral:rRNA from 2 species